rnacentral:lncRNA from 1 species
CGAUUUCACACAUUAUCGUCACAUAUUACAUCUCUCUCAACAGCACCCUCAUCAUCACUAUGAAUCCGAUCAAAAUCAUCGACCAACUUCUCAGCCGCCACUCCUCGACGGUGCUGCUCAACGCCACACUAUCGAUCCUCGGGCGAAUAGUUUGGGACCAGUAAGCCCCAAAGUGUCCUCGCCACCCCUCCCUAAUCCAUCCAUUGUCCUAUUCUCCGUCCGUUCUCUCUCCCGUAAAAUCCCCAAAAUACCCACAAAACUCCGUCAUCCGUCUUCCCCACCUCCGCAAAAAGACGAAAACCUCCACACGAACCGCCUCGCGGCACGUGGCACAAUCAGCGCGCGCCACUUUUUUUUUUUAAUUUUUUUUUUCGAAUUUAGAAAAACGAGUCCCGUACUUUGCUUUUUUGGGUAUAAACCCCCCAUUUUUCCAGGUGAAAAAAAUUGGCGAGAGUAAUUAGAGCCCGCUGGAACAACUGACUGUGUCCGACGACGACGAUCGAGUCUCCGUUCCCGGCGAUAUAACUCCGAUCCAAUCUCCGCUGUCAGUCUCUGAUCGCCUUUCGUCUCUACGGCGGUGGCUCCACGCAAGGCUCCGCCGUCCCGUUCCCAACCUCCUUCUCGCGCUCUC